rnacentral:rRNA from 1 species
UACGUAGGGAGCGAGCGUUAUCCGGAUUUAUUGGGCGUAAAGCGUGCGUAGGCGGUUUGUUAAGUCUGAAAUUAAAGCCUGAGGCUCAACCUCAGUUCGUUUCAGAAACUGGCAGACUUGAGUGUGGUAGAGGUAAAUGGAAUUUCUAGUGUAGCGGUAAAAUGCGUAGAUAUUAGAAGGAACACCAGUGGCGAAGGCGAUUUACUGGGCCAUUACUGACGCUGAGGCACGAAAGCGUGGGGAGCAAAUAG